UAGCAUAUAGGUUUUAUCUAUAAAAUGUCUUGCACAACUAACUUAAUUCAUUUGAUCAGUUUACACAUUUAUUUUGGGUACCACCGCUGUAAACGUAAUAUACCUGAUGACGCUCGAGUGGAGAAGGAAGUCUCAUUGCAUACAAGCGCAUUAUGUCUAUGUUCCCUCUCCUCACCGCCUUUCCUUGAUGACUUUUGACCUUCUUCAAAAGGAAGCAAAGAAAAGAUAGAAUAGAGAGGACGCAGCAGUUGAGCAAAUCCAAUUGAGAAAACGCAUCCAUCCCCAUCAGACCUAGAAUAUAUAUAUUCUCUUCUUUUUUUUCCUGAGUGGCAGGCCAAAGGUACAACAGAAAUAUAUAUAUAUGGAAAAUAAUACAUGAAAAUGUGAUAUGGACUGAAUAUAUGAAAAUACAUAUAUUUUAAGAUUGUACCUGUAACAACCCCCCCUAAUAAAAAAUGACAAAUAAUUAAACAUUUGGUCACCAAAAAAAGAAACAAAUAACACUGUAUUAACCAACGUGUGUAUUUUGUUGUCUUUGUCUUUUGUGGUCUCUGUAAACAAGAUGUUGGCCAUUACAUGUCAAAAGAAAGAUGUCUUCUAUGUAUACCAGGUGCCAAUUUCACACUUAGAGCUGUCUCUCCAUGCCCUUGCUGUACCAGUAGCACUCCCAUUUGGAUGUAUUCUCCCAAAAUAACACACAGUACUUCCCAAGGGUCCCUGCCCUAUUUUAUAAAUGGCUAUUCUUUAAGACAUGCUCUGUCUCAAGCCAAAGCCAAGUACCAGCCCUUCCUUUAAACAUUCAUCUUCACGCCAGCCAUUUUAUUCAAAGGGGUUCACAGAUUGAUAGUAUAGUAAAGAGUAUACACAAACUCGUCAACACCCUACACUUUGUCAACUCUCUUCAAUCUCAGCAAAACAAUGACAGUUUUUGAGUAACCACCCAGCCAACGCACUUAAUCCUAAUUGCUCAUGUAAAUUGCUCUGGAUAACAACGUCUGCAAAAUGACGAAAAUGCAAAUGUAGAGUUACAAGAUGACAUGGACUCACACCCUGGGUUGUUCUGAACAGAAUGAGCCUAUGUUUGUCUAUUGUGAAGAUAAUUUGUUGCGGAACGUGCACCUGAAUGUACGCAUGACUCCUUUCUACUGAGAUUGGUUUCUAUUUCAAAUGAUGCCCACCUGACCCAGAUUGCGAUUUAUAAUGGGUCAUUUUUUUAUUGCGUAAACACCAACUACAAGUGUGCUUUCUCUAGUCCCUCAACGGCACAGCUAGGAGAGCUCAAAAAAACACCUUCUUUGAGUAAUAAAAGUGCAAUGAAUUUACUUAGGAACUGCGCACACUUUGGAGAGGUGUGUGGCCACGUGGAGACACCAAAUCAAAUAAAUAAAAUCAAAUGUAUUUAUAUAGCCCUUCUUACAUCAGCUGAUAUCACAAAGUGCUGUACAGAAACCCAGCCUAAAACCCCAAACAGCAAGCAAUGCAGGUGUAGAAGCACGGUGGCUAGGAAAAACUCCCUAGAAAGGCCAAACCUAGGAAGAAACCUAGAGAGGAACCAGUCCUCUUCUGGCUGUGCCGGGUGGAGAUUAUAACAGCACAUGGCCUAGAUGUUCAAAUGUUCAUAAAUGACCAGCAUUGUCAAAUAAUAAUAAUCAUAGUAGUUGUCGAGGGUGCAACAAGUCAGUAACACAAGAGUAAGUGUCAGUUGGCUUUUUCAUAGCCGAUCUUUGAGAGUAUCUCUACCACUCCUGCUGUCUCUAGAGAGUUGAAAACAGCAGGUCUGGGACAUGUAGCACAUCCGGUGAAUAGGUCGGGUUUCCAGCAGGUCUGGGACAACAGGUCUGGGACAGGUAGCACGUCCGGUGAACAGGUCAGGGUUCCAUAGCUGCAGGCAGAACAGUUGGAACUGGAGCAGCAGCACGGCCAGGUGAACUGGGGACAGCAAGGAGUCAUCAAGCCAGGUAGUCCUGAGGCAUGGUCCUAGGGCUCAGGUCCUCCGAGAGAGAGAAAGAAAGAAAGAAAAAGAGAAAAUUAGAGCAUAUUUAAAUUCACACAGGACACCAGAAAAGACAAGAGAAAUACUCCAGAUGUGACAGACUGACCCUAGCCCCCCGACACAUAAACUACUGCAGCAUAAAUACUGGGGCUGAGACAGGAGGGGUCAGGAGACACUGUGGCCCCAUCCGAUGAAACCCCCGGACAGGGCCAAACAGGUAGGAUAUAACCCCACCCACUUUGCCAAAGCACAGCCUCCACACCACUGGAGGGAUAUCUCCAACCACCAACUUACCAUCCCGGGACAAGGCCAAGUAUAGCCCACAAAGAUCUCGCCCACAGCACAGCCCAAGGGGGGCGCCAACCCAGACAGGAAGACCACGUCAGUGACUCAACCCACUCAAGUGACGCACCCCUCCCAGGGACGGCAUGGAAGAACAUCAGUAAGCCAGUGACUCAGCCCCCGUAAUAGGGGUAGAGGCAGAGAAUCCCAGUGGAAAGAGGGGAAACCGGCCAGGCAGAGACAGCAAGGGCGGUACGUUGAUCCAGCCUUUCCGUUCACCUUCACACCCCUGGGCCAGACUACACUUAAUCAUAGGACCUACUGAAGAGAUAUGUCUUCAGUAAAGACUUAAAGGUUGAGACUGAAUCUGCGUCUCUCACAUGGGUAGGCAGACUAUUCCAUAAAAAUGGAGCUCUAUAGGAGAAAGCCCUGCCUCCAGCUGUUUGCUUAGAAAUUCUAGGAACAAUUAGGAGGCCCGCGUCUUGUGACCGUAGCGUACGUGUAGGUAUGUACGGCAGGACCAAAUCGGAAAGAUAGGUAGGAGCAAGCCCAUGUAAUGCUUUGUAGGUUAGCAGUAAAACUUUGAAAUCAACCCUUGCCUUAACAGGAAGCCAGUGUAGGGAGGCUAGCACUGGAGUAAUAUGAUCAAUUUUUUUGGUUCUAGUCAGGAUUCUAGCAGCCGUAUUUAGCACUAACUGAAGUUUAUUUAGUGCUUUAUCCGGGUAGCCGGAAAGUAGAGCAUUGCAGUAGUCCAACCUAGAAGUAACAAAGGCAUGGAUUAAUUUUUCUGCGUCAUUUUUGGACAGAAAGUUUCUGAUUUUUGCAAUGUUACGUAGAUGGAAAAAAGCUGUCCUUGAAACAGUCUUGAUAUGUUCUUCAAAAGAGAGAUCAGGGUCCAGAGUAACGCCGAGGUCCUUCACAGUUUUAUUUGAGACGACUGUACAACCAUCCAAAUUAAUUGUCAGAUUCAACAGAAGAUCUCUUUGUUUCUUGGGACCUAGAACAAGCAUCUCUGUAUUGUCCGAGUUUAAGAGUAGAAAGUUUGCAGCCAUCCACUUCCUUAUGUCUGAGACACAGGCUUCUAGACACAUUUCAAUUCACCAUGUUUCAUUGAAAUGUACAGCUGUGUGUCAUCCGCAUAGCAGUGAAAUUUAACAUUAUGUUUUCGAAUGACAUCCCCAAGAGGUAAAAUAUAUAGUGAAAACAAUAGUGGUCCUAAAACGGAACCUUGAGGAACACCGAAAUUUACAGUUGAUUUGUCAGAGGACAAACCAUUCACAGAGACAAACUGAUAUCUUUCCGACAGAUAAGACCUAAACCAGGCCAGAACUUGUCCAUGUAGACCAAUUUGGGUUUCCAAUCUCUCCAAAAGAAUGUGGUGAUCGAUGGUAUCAAAAGCAGCACUAAGAUCUAGGAGCACGAGGACAGACGCAGAACCUCGGUCUGACGUCAUUAAAAGGUCAUUUACCACCUUCACAAGUGCGGUCUCAGUGCUAUGAUGGGGUCUAAAACCAGACUGAAGCGUUUCGUGUACAUUGUUUGUCUUCAGGAAGGCAGUGAGUUGCUGCGCAACAGCUUUUUCAAAAAAUGUUGAGAGGAAUGGAAGAUUCGAUAUAGGCCAAUAGCUUUUUAUAAUUUCUGGGUCAAGAUUUGGCUUUUUCAAGAGAGGCUUUAUUACUGCCACUUUUAGUGAGUUUGGUACACAUCCGGUGGAUAGAGAGACAUUUAUUAUGUUCAACAUAGGAGGGCCAAGCACAGAAAGCAGCUCUUUCAGUAGUUUAGUUGGGUCCAGUAUGCAGCUUGAAGGUUUAGAGAUCAUGAUUGUUUUCAUCAUUGUGUCAAGAGAUAUAGUACUAAAACACUUUAGUGUCUCCCUUGAUCCUAGGUCCUGGCAGGGUUGUGCAAACUCUUGACAACGGAGCUUUGGAGGAAUACGCAGAUUUAAAGAGGAGUCCGUAAUUUGCUUUCUAAUGAUCAUGAUCUUUUCUUCAAAGAAGUUCAUGAAUUCAUCACUGCUGAAGUGAGAGCCAUCCUCUCCUGGGGAAUGUUGCUUUUUAGUUAACUUUGCCACAAUAUCAAAAUAAAUUUCGGAUUGUUCUUAUUUUCCUCAAUUAAGUUGGAAAAAUAGGAUGAUCGAGCAGCAGUGAAGGCUCUUCGAUACUGCACGGUACUGUCUUUCCAAGCUAGUCGGAAGACUUCCAGUUUGGUGUGGCGCCAUUUCAGUUCCAAUUUUCUGGAAGCUUGCUUCAGAGCUCGUGUAUUUUCUGUAUACCAGGGAGCUAGUUUCUUAUGACAAAUGUUUUUAGUUUUUAGCGGUGCAACUGCAUCUAGGGUAUUGCGCAAGGUUAAAUUGAGUUAAAUUGAGUUCGGUUAGGUGGUUAACUGAUUUUUGUCCUCUGACGUCCUUGGGUAGGCAGAGGGAGUCUGGAAGGGCAUCAAGGAAUCUUUGGGUCGUCUGAGAAUUUAUAGCACGACUUUUAAUGCUUCUUGGUUGGGGUCUGAGCAGAUUAUUUGUUGCGAUUGCGAACGUAAUAAAAUGGUGGUCCGAUAGUCCAGGAUUAUGAGGAAAAACAUUAAGAUCCACAACAUUUAUUCCAUGGGACAAAACUAGGUCCAGAGUAUGACUGUGGCAGUGAGUAGGUCCAGAGACAUGUUGGACAAAACCCACUGAGUCGAUGAUGGCUCCGAAAGCCUUUUGGAGUGGGUCUGUGGAAUUUCCAUGUGAAUAUUACAGUCACCAAAAAUUAGAAUAUUAUCUGCGAUGACUACAAGGUCCGAUAGGAACUCAGUGAGGAACGCUACAUAUGGCCCAGGAGGUCUGUAAACAGUACCUAUAAAAAGUGAUUGAGUAGGCUGCAUAGAUUUCAUAACUAGAAUCUCAAAAGACGAAAACGUCGUUGUUGUUUUUUUUGCGGUAAAUUUAAAUUUGCUAUCAUAAAUGUUAGCAACACCUCCGCCUUUGCGGGAUGCGCGGGGGAUAUGGUCACUAGUGUAACCAGGGGGUGAGGCCUCAUUUAACACAGUAAAUUCAUCAGGCUUAAGCCAUGUUUCAGUCAGGCCAAUCACAUCAAGAUUAUGAUCAGUGAUUAGUUCAUUGACUAUAACUGCCUUUGAAGUGAGGGAUCUAACAUUAAGUAGUCCUAUUUUGAGAUGUGAGGUAUCACAAUCUCUUUCAAUAAUGGCAGGAAUGGAGGAGGUCUUUAUACUAGUGAGAUUGCUAAAGCGAACACUGCCAUCUUUAAUUUUGCCCAACCUAAAUCGAGGCACAGACACGGUCUCAAUGGGGAUAGCUGAGCUGACUACACUAAGCUGGCAGGCUGGCUAACAGCCUGCUGCCUGGCCUGCACCCUAUUUCAUUGUGGAGCUAGAGGAGUUAGAGCCCUGUCUAUGUUCGUAGAUAAGAUGAGAGCACCCCUCCAGCUAGGAUGGAGUCCGUCACUCCUCAACAGGCCAGGCUUGGUCCUGUUUGUGGGUGAGUCCCAGAAAGAGGGCCAAUUAUCUACAAAUUCUAUCUUUUGGGAGGGGCUGAAAACAGUUUUCAACCAGCGAUUGAGUUGUGAGACUCUGCUCUAGAGCUCAUCACUCCCCCUAACUGGGAGGGGGCCAGAGACAAUUAAUCGAUGCCGACACAUCUUUCUAGCUGAUUUACACGCUGAAGCUAUGUUGCGCUUGGUGACCUCUGACUGUUUCAUCCUAACAUCGUUGGUGCCGACGUGGAUAACAAUAUCUCUAUACUCUCUACACUCGCCAGUUUUAGCUUUAGCCAGCACCAUCUUUAGAUUAGCCUUAACGUCGGUAGCCCUGCCCCCUGGUAAACAGUGUAUGAUCGCUGGAUUAUUAGUUUUUAGUCUAAUACUGCGGGUAAUGGAGUCGCCAAUGACUAGGGUUUUCAAUUUGUCAGAGCUAAUGGUGAGAGGCUUCGGCGUCUCAGACCCCAUAACGGGAGGAGCAGAGACCAGAGAAGUUUCAGCCUCCGACUCCGACUCGCUUAAUGGGGAGAACCGGUUGAAAGUUUCUGUCGGCUGAAUAAGCGACACCGGUUGAGCAUUCCUACAGCGUUUCCCUCCAGAAGCCAUGAGGAAGUUGUCCGGCUGCGGGGACCGUGCGAGGGGGUUUAUACUAACGUUACUAUCUGUACUUACUGGUGGCACAGACGCUGUUUCAUCCUCUCCUACACUGAAAUUACCCUUGCCUAACGAUUGCGUCUGAAGCUGGGCUUGCAGCACAGCUAUCCUUGCCGUAAGGCGAUCGUUCUCCUGUAUAUUAUGAGUACAGCGACUGCAAUUAGAAGGCAUCAUGUUAAUGUUACUUAGCUUCGGCUGUUUGAAGUCCUGACGAACCAUGUCCAGAUAAAACCUCCGGGGUGAAAAAGUUGAAUGAAUAAAGUUGAGUGAGGGAAAAACUAAAAAUAUACGGUAAUGAAAAAGUAAAAACCGUGAAGUAGUCAGGUAGCAAAGUAAGAUCGGCAACAAAACGCACAGCAGCACGUAAACAAGUCUGCAAGUUGUGCCCUCUCACUCAAACCCUUGUCAUUUUUUGGGGCUUAUUGUCACGCUCUGACCUAGGAGAGCUGUGUUUUCUCUGUUUAGUUAGGUCAGGGUGUGAUAGGUGGGUGGGCAUUCUAUGUUUUGUUUUCUAUGUUUUGGCCGGGUAUGGUUUCCAAUCAGAGGCAGCUGUCUAUCGUUGUCUCUGAUUGGAGGCCAUACACAGGCAGCCUGUUUUCCCCUUUGUUUUCGUGGGUAGUUGUUUUCUGUUUAGUUUGUAAACCUGACGGAACUGUUGGCUGUCAUUUUGUUAUUUUGUCUAGUGUUCGUUUCCAUUCAAAUAUAUAACGAUGAGCACUCUACACGCUGCGCCUUGGUCUCCUCUAUACGACGCCCGUAACAGAACUACCCACCACCAACGGACCAAGCAGCGUGCACUCCCCAGGAAGACGAGUGGGACCAAGCAGUGUGGUUCAGAAGACUGGACCUGGGAAGAGAUUCUAGAUGGGGCAGGACCUUGGACAAGGCCGGGAGAGUAUCGCGCCCGCCGGAGGAGAUAGAGGCAGCGAAGGCGGAACGGCGAUACUGGGCGGAACGGCUAAGAAGGCAACAGCAACAUUUUUUGUGUGUUCGUUUCCAUUCAAAUAUAUACUGCUCAAAAAAUAAAGGGAACACUUAAACAACACAUCCUAGAUCUGAAUGAAAGAAAUAAUCUUAUUAAAUACUUUUUUCUUUACAUAGUUGAAUAUGCUGACAACAAAAUCACACAAAAUUAAUCAAUGGAAAUCCAAUUUAUCAACCCAUGGAGGUCGGGAUUUGGAGUCACACUCAAAAUUAAAGUGGAAAGCCACACUACAGACUGAUCCAACUUUGAUGUAGUGUCCUUAAAACAAGUCAAAAUGAGGCUCAGUAGUGUGUGUGGCCUCCACGUGCCUGUAUGACCUCCCUACAACGCCUGGGCAUGCUCCUGAUGAGGUGGCGGAUGGUCUCCUGAAAGAUCUCCUCCCAGACCUGGACUAAAGCAUCCGCCAACUCCUGGACAGUCUGGGGUGCAACGUGGCGUUGGUGGAUGGAGCGAGACAUGAUGUCCCAGAUGUGCUCAAUUGAAUUCAGGUCUGGGGAACAGGCGGGCCAGUCCAUAGCAUCAAUGCCUUCCUCUUGCAGGAACUGCUGACACACUCCAGCCACAUGAGGUCUAGCAUUGUCUUGCAUUAGGAGGAACCCAGGGCCAACCGCAACAGCAUAUGGUCUCACAAGGGGUCUGAGGAUCUCAUCUCGGUACCUAAUGGCAGUCAGGCUACCUCUGGCGAGCACACAGAGGGCUGUGCGGCCCCCCAAAGAAAUGCCACCCCACACCAUGACUGACCCACCGCCAAACCGGUCAUGCUGGAGGAUGUUGCAGGCAGCAGAACGUUCUCCACGGCGUCUCCAGACUCUGUCACGUCUGUCACGUGCUCAGUGUGAACCUGCUUUCAUCUGUGAAGAGCACAGGGCGCCAGUGGCGAAUUUGCCAAUCUUGGUGUUCUCUGGCAAAUGCCAAACAUCCUGCACGGUGUUGGGCUGUAAGCACAACCCCCACCUGUGGACGUCGGGCCCUCAUACCACCCUCAUGGAGUCUGUUUCUGACCGUUUGAGCAGACACAUGCACAUUUGUGGCCUGCUGGAGGUCAUUUUGCAGGGCUCUGGCAGUGCUUCUCCUGCUCCUCCUUGCACAAAGGCGGAGGUAGCGGUCCUGCUGCUGGGUUGUUGCCCUCCUACGGCCUCCUCCACAUCUCCUGAUGUACUGGCCUGUCUCCUGGUAGCGCCUCCAUGCUCUGGACACUACGCUGACAGACACAGCAAACAUUCUUGCCACAGCUCGCAUUGAUGUGCCAUCCUGGAUGAGCUGCACUACCUGAGCCACUUGUGUGGGUUGUAGAUUCCGUCUCAUGCUACCACUAGAGUGAAAGCACCGCCAGCAUUCAAAAGUGACCAAAACAUCAGCCAGGAAGCAUAGGAACUGAGAAGUGGUCUGUGGUCCCCACCUGCAGAACCACUCCUUUAUUGGGGGUGUCUUGCUAAUUGCCUAUAAUUUCCACCUGUUGUCUAUUCCAUUUGCACAACAGCAUGUGAAAUUUAUUGUCAAUCAGUGUUGCUUCCUAAGUGGACAGUUUGAUUUCACAGAAGUGUGAUUGACUUGGAGUUACAUUGUGUUGUUUAAGUGUUCCCUUUAUUGUUUUGAGCAGUGUAUAACGAUGAGCACUCUACAUGCUGCGCCUUGGUCUCCUCUAUAUGACGCCCGUAACACUUAUGUUGCACCUACCCCACAUUUUCCAGGAAUAUUGUUUUCAUGUUACUGAAUGUAUCCAGAUUAUUUUCAGAUUUCGUUAUCAACAAAUGCGGCGAAAAGUACAGUAAAUGUAAAAUUUGUAAAAAAAAUCAACAGUGUAAUGUUUGGAUUCAGUCUUGUGUCAGGUGAACUGUUUGGUCUAAUGAUUGUUCUAUAAUCUCCAAACGUUUCCCUUUCAAUUGAUACCAUGCUUAUGCAUAUGCUUUUCCUAUUUCUUCUGUAAGAGACAUUUCCAAUAUAGCCCUAUCCAUAUAGGCUAAUUCCCACAAGCGUAAAGGGUUAGCACAUGAAACCAAACAUGCCGAGAGAAAACAGUGAUGUUUCGAAAACAUGUCUACUGGCUUGGUUUGAAUAUGGCAAGAGAUCUAUCUUUAUGGACUAACUCAGUGUUCCCCAAAUGGCGGCCCGCCGGCUGAAUUUAACCCAUGGGUGGUCCCCCCCUCUGUUCCCAAGUAUUCCCACGCAUAAUAGAGAUACACGUGGUGGUAUACAAAUGUAAGCAAGAUUUGAAAUUAUUGUCUUAGUCAAAUGUUAUAUCUGUUUGGGCUUCUUGUGGUCUAUUUGCAGUCUACAAAUUAUUUGUCAUUAUGUUCUGGCCUCCCGACAUCCACGCAACAAAAAAAAAUCGGCCUGCGGCUGAAUCUAGUUGAUGAUUCCUGGACUAACUGUUCUAUCUUACUGUAGUGUUGGUUCACUCAGAGAUGGCAAGGUUGUAGUAUUGCGCAGUGGUGUAAAGUACUUAAGUAAAUAUUACUUUAAAGUACUACUUAAGUAGUUUUUUGUGGUAUCUGUACUGUACUAUUUAUAUUUUUGAUUACUUUUACUUUUACUUCACUACUUAAGUAUAUUUAAAACCAAAUACUUUUAGACUUUUACUCAAGAGGCAUUUUACUGGGUGACUUUCACUUUUUUACUUUUACUUUCAUUUUACUUUACUUUACUUUUACUCAAGAAUGACAAUAGGGUACUUUUCCACCACUGAUAUUGCGUAGUAAAUGGGCGGCAUUAAUGAUAAUGUCUUCCACAAUGAAUGACAUACGCAAAAGUCUGAGUUGUGUUCCCUUAUCUCAACUCUGACUCAAGCCACAAGUGUUCAGGUAAUACAGUUUUAAUGAAACUUGGACAAUAACAAAUUAUUCUAAAAACUUAAUUUGGCCUUUCCCACCGUUUUUCCAGGGCUGACACCAUAUAGCGGGCCAGCUCGGUGUUCGUGCUAACAAUAAUACUAAUCAGCGCAAUCACAACAGUGUUAAGAGGGGACGUUCCGAACGUGUUGAGUAACGAGGCAGGAGAGGUGGCCAACCCAACCUUGGGACGCGGAUGGAUGAUGUCACCUGUCCGAACAUUCCGUUUGGUCCCAAUCUCAGCUUGGCCGGUUUCCUCCUCCUCUGGCGGAGCCCGGGACUCCCACCCUACAUAUGGGGACAGGAUGUAACACUUUUGCUGGCUGAUUUACAUCUAAACAAACACAGGCAGACCAAACAAUGUUCAGACUGAAAGGGAGCGCAUGCCUUUCUCCUCGGCCCGGGCCAUUUGAUAUUGGCAUAUAGGACCCAGCUGGGAAGGCUGAUAAGCGGGGUGGGAGGGGAAUUGCUGGCCCAAAAGGAUAGCAUUUUUCCCUGGAGCUGCACUGGGCCAAUGUAGUGUGAAAGGAGGACCCUUCAAGUUCAAGGAGCAUUCACAUAAGGAUGGAGGGUAGAAGUGGCAAGCGGGACAGCAAUCUGAGAGGUUUGCCAGUUUGAGUCCCAAGUCCAGCAGGAAGAAUCUGGUGGAUAUUUUUUUAUUUCAUCUUUAAUCUUAAUCUUUAUUUCACUAGGCAAGUCAGUUAAGAACAAAUUCUUAUUUACAAUGACAGCUACCGGGGAACAGUGGGUUAACUGCCUUGUUCGGGGACAGAACGACAUAUUUUUACCUUAUCAGCUCGGGGAUUCAAUCCAGCAACCUUUCGGUUACUGGCCCAAUGCUCUAACCACUAGGCUACCCCACCUGCCGCUCCGGAUAUCAUAGAUGCCGUCUCCUCCCCUUCUGCUCCAGGGGUGCGGCAACGUGGCAGUUCUCUGGAAAGGAAUAUGGGGCAAUCAAGUAUCUUUUUUCAGAUCUUCAGAAGAGGGCAGGAGGAGAGAGUUAUUCACUGUCUGACGCAGUCCCCUGAAUUGGCCUUUGAAUAUGCCUUACGCAAUAGUUUUGAGGAUGUUACAUAGUUUCACAAUCGAAACAUACAAAAAGAUAUGCAUUGACUUGUUAAUAUGAUUGUCUUACACUAGAAUUUUUCUGUUAUAAAGAAUAUGUGCAGAAUAUUUAUGUACAUUUAUUUACAAAACCUAAUUCCAUAUUUAUUUACAUGUACAAUUUCAUCAUUUUAGACAAUACAUUUCUCCAGAGUGACAGUCAGUGCAGUAUAGCCUUUAUUUAGAGGACUGAACGAGCAAAGAGCAUAGAGAGAAGCAGUCUACUUCAUGUGCAGUGUAAAUGUGUUUAAGCGUUGAUAUUAGGAGCAUGUGAGAGGGUGUGUGUUCUAUGUUAUAGUCAUAUGGUAUGUGUCUCUGUGUGUCGAGAUAUUUGCUAUUUCAGGGUAGCAGUUGAUUGACGCACCCAGACAUACUUGUGAUACCUGGAGUGACCCUGAGCUUGGCAUUCAUUGGUGGGUGUGAGGGAUUCAGAUGUAUAAACUGGGUGGUUUGAGCCCUGAAUGCUGAUUGGCUGACAGCCAUGGUAUAUCAGACCAUAUACCAUGUGUAUGACAAAACAUUUAUUUUUACUGUUUUUAUUUAUUAUUUUUACUCUUUGUUGCCUCUCUGAUUAAUGCCCUCAUUGCCUGGUCUGUGGGUUUUGGUGGGCGGCCCUCUCUUGUCAGGUUUGUUGUGGUGCCAUAUUCUUUCCACUUUUUAAUAAUUGAUUUAAUGGUGCUCCGUGGGAUGUUCAAAGUUUCGGAUAUUUUCUUAUAACCCAACCCUGAUCUGUACUUCUCCACAACUUUGUCCCUGACCUGUUUGGAGAGCUCCUUGGUGCCACUUGCUUGGUGCCACUUGCUUGGUGGUGCCCCUUGCUUAGUGGUGUUGCAGACUCUGGGGCUUUUCAGAACAGGUGUAUAUAUACUGAGAUCAUGUGACAGAUCAUGUGACACUUAGAUUGCACACAGGUGGACUUCAUUUAACUAAUUAUGUGACUUCUGAAGGUAAUUGGUUGCACCAGAUCUUAUGUAAGAGCUUCAUAGCAAAGGGGGUGAAUACAUAUGCAUGCACCACUAUUCCGUUUUUAUUUUGUCAAAUUUUUUUAAAACAUUUUUUUCAUUUCACUUCACCAAUUUGGACUAUUUUGUGUAUGUCCAUUACAUGAAAUCCAAAUAAAAAUCUAUUUAAAUUACAGGUUGUAAUGCAACAAAAUAGGAAAAACAGCAAGGGGGGUGAAUACUUUUGCAAGGCACUGUGCCACACCCCCUCAUGCCUUAUUGCUUAAGUAUAGCACUGGAACAGAGCAAAGUGAAUAACUCCUGAAAGUAACAGGGUGGUAAACUUGCUUUCACCUAUCCAAUUACUUACUUACAGUGCUUACUUCAAGGAAGGAAGGAUGCAAUUCUGUGCGGAGCAUACUUUGCAGAGCCAUUCCCUUUACUGCUCCUGGAAGGCAUAUUUAGUAGUAGUAACUAGUGGUUCUACAACAUUUUAUAACAUGGUUAGAGUGGACUUGUUUACCAUGCAAUGCACUCAUCUUUAAAGGGCCCCAUUUGGACAGUCCCCACAGGGGCCCAACGCCUUAUCUUCUUGCUAGUUCGACCCUGGGACACCCCUCAAUGUGCUAGUCCCUCAAGCGAGCAUCCUGGUUUGAGACCCUUUCUCAGGGCCCUUUCCAUCACCCCAACUUAGGGUCUGCGGCCGCCUGACGCAGGCCAGGUCCCGACAGGCUUAGCCAGCAUGCCAGACAUGGAGCCUGCCCGCAUCCCAUAGACUCACACCCUAUUCCUUUCUCUUCUAUCCUGUUUUUCUCCCUUUCUUCUUUCUCUCGUUAUAAAGCGCCAAGCAUAGUUGGUAGCGUAGUUUAUCAGUAAGGGGUCAAGCAGGGGGAUUUGAGCUGGGCCCUGGAUGAGAGAGCCAGGGCCCCUGGGAAUGCACUUAGCAGAGGUGCCUGCUGCACCUCUUGUUAAGAUGCCCGGGGUGUGGGGCUGGACAGUCCGAAUCGCUUCAACCUACGGUCUGGACACUCGGUCGCCAUUCGCCGCUGCCGGCACAGGAGAUGCUCCAGAAUCCCAAAUAGCACUGUGUGUCAUCAGUUGCGAUAACACAUAAUCGAAUCCCCAUGUUCACCUUCUGUGGUGUGUGGUGUGUAGGGUAUUUGAAGAAAGACUGGACUGAAAUCAUAUCUGCCAAUUUUUGUGUGUGCAAAUGUGAUCACUUAAAGGCAAGGAAUGUUUGAGGACAGGUCCACCAUUGUCCAAAUCCCAAAUUGACACUUGACUAAAUGCCUCUAUGUGAUAUAGGAUACAAAAAAAUGAUGUCAUAUAUUUUAUGUUUGAUGGCACUGUAGAGGAACCAUGGUGAAUAUUCCCAGUUUAUUUUGAGCGGAAGUGGUCAGUGGCAGAAUAGAUUGUGUGGUUGUACCAAGCAGUCUGCCACCACCUCUCACUUCAAACAUGCCUUUCCCUCUCCUUGUCUGUUUCCAGGUAGGGCUUAAAAUAAAGGGAACCCGAUCCGUGUGUGUAACUCGUGUUUCGUGGAUAGAGGCCUUUGUAAUGGAAAACCUCCAGUGUUAUUUCGACCCUCAUAUUUUUAGGCAAGGCUACUAUUGUUCUCCCUAUAGCCUAAGCCAGGAUGUGUUAGCCGGAAAGUUCGGAAUUCUUGUUUUGUCGUCUUUAUUAUGCUGGAGAAUGGCCGCCACACCCACAACCCUUUUGGCCCCCCUGGGUUCUGGGGGGAGAGGAGCAAGGACCCUACAGAGGCUUGUGGGGAUUACUAAGCCCUAAGGCUGACGGGACCAAUGAACCUUGAUCUCUCUAUCAAUUUACUGAAGGACAGCUGCCCUCGUCCAGUCCCCCCUGCGGAGAGAGAAUGGCUAUUUUAUCUGCCCCCACCCCCUAACCCA
rnacentral:lncRNA from 1 species